ensembl:snoRNA
ACACAGUGGUCGUGAUGACUUGGUUGGACUAGAGUCUCUGAGCUUUCUCUGAGGAUCUUUGAGACCACCUGAUCCACUCUGUG